rnacentral:misc_RNA from 1 species
GAAAUGCGAUAAGUAAUGUGAAUUGCAGAAUUCAGUGAAUCAUCGAAUCUUUGAACGCACAUUGCGCCCGCCAGUAUUCUGGCGGGCAUGCCUGUUCGAGCGUCAUUACAACCCUCAGGCCCCCGGGCCUGGCGUUGGGGAUCGGCGGAAGCCCCCUGCGGGCACAACGCCGUCCCCCAAAUGCAGUGGCGGUCCCGCCGCAGCUUCCAUUGCGUAGUAGCUAACACCUCGCAACUGGAGAGCGGCGCGGCCACGCCGUAAAACACCCAACUUCUGAAUGUUGACCUCGAAUCAGGUAGGAAUACCCGCUGAACUUAAGC